CAUAAUGAAUUGGAGGGGAGCGGUGGGGCACGAUUCAGUCCACUGCACACCGUUCUCCUCUCCAGACCUCUCACUGGCAAGUCCUUUCAUCUCAAUUUCAGUUCUGUGAGGCCGUCCUACUAUUGUCUAUCACCCUGUUUGAUUUUUUUGUAGCCUCAUCAUUUAUUCAUUACAGUUUCUUAAGUUCUUUUUUUUAGGGAGCUUGUCAUUGCCUAGAAGAGUGCUGGGCACACAAUAGUGAUACUGAAUAUACAACUAAAAUCAUGUAAUAUAGCACAUGAGAUUCUUAAUGCUAAAAUUAAGACUUUUUAACAUGAAAAAUGCUCUUAAGGGCAGAAAUGAAGCAAAUUUCAGGCAAGAUGGCAGACAAGACUGAAACGGAUUCAUCCAUCAACUGCUACAGACUUAAAAAACAAAAUAUGCCCAAUGCAAAGCUGAGCUCAGGAAAUCCUCAGAUGCUAGAGAUAAAGACAAAAUCCAGUUGCAGAAGUGAGUUCCAGGUGAUGCCAGGAGACCCCAGGAAGUAUCAGAUUAGGUCACAAAACUAGGAAUAAGGUUUUAAUGUCUUCAGAAAAACAGAGCAUUUGGUGAGAGAAGGGAACUAAUCCGAGACUCCCGCAUACAACCAGGACACUUGAAGGGCUGCCUCACCUGUGAAAAAGAAACUGGAAAAAUCUCUUCAAAUCUGUCUGUGGAAACAGAAAGACAGCCUGGUGUUUGACAAAGCUCUCGGUGGGACAAACCUCCUCUGAGAAAUGGAAACCUAGGAAAUCAAAAGCCCAGAAAUUAAGGGAAAGCAUUAGUCUCAGAUAAUGAAAAGGAAACCCUUGGGGCCCGGGCCAAAGCAAAUGUAAAAACAUGAACACUUGCAUAAUCUCGUACAUGGGACUCACAGAAAAUGCAACCCCUAAUAUAGAUGAGCUCGCAAUGAAAAAUUAUCCACCACUGUGGCAAUGCAGUCACCAAAAGGAAGACUCAACAGACCAAUGAGCAUAGACACGAGCUGUGGAUAGUAUGAUCAGCUUGUCGAAAGAAUGAAUCAAUGACACUCUGUCUUCGUGGAGAGCAGCCUGGGUGUGGAAUCAGGCACCCCCGGGUUCAAAGCCAUCACUGGCGAACUCACAAAGAGUGGGACUCACCGACCUGAGGGUUUGCCAGCACACUCGUAGCCCGCGGGACUAGAGUAUUUGUGAGAGAGGAGUGUGGUCUUGUGAUUGAAGAACAGAAGUCAUUCGUGAAGGACACAGCACACACAGCCCAGAGAGCUCGCAGGUUAAAACUGCACAUGGAGCAAUGUCUGCCAGCCAUUCAGGGUACUUCAAAAUAGGUCAGAAUACGUUUCCAGAAAGUGACACCUUCUUUUUGGGUUUGCGUAUAAUAAUAAAUCUAGGGGAUAAGAACGCAAACACAGUAUUCACAAUCAAGUUAUUUAGACCUUUUAGAUUGUAUACAAAUGACAUAGAAAAAUGUACAGCCAGUCCACUGGGUUGUAAUUUUAGAAACAAACAUCUCAAGUCAUAAUAAUAAAGUAGAGUUUUAAAA
rnacentral:lncRNA from 1 species